rnacentral:rRNA from 1 species
AUUGAACGCUGGCGGCAGGCUUAACACAUGCAAGUCGAGCGGAGCGAGGGUACUUGCACCUUAGCUUAGCGGCGGACGGGUGAGUAAUGCUUAGGAAUCUGCCUAUUAGUGGGGGACAACAUUCCGAAAGGGAUGCUAAUACCGCAUACGCCCUACGGGGGAAAGCAGGGGAUCUUCGGACCUUGCGCUAAUAGAUGAGCCUAAGUCGGAUUAGCUAGUUGGUGGGGUAAAGGCCUACCAAGGCGACGAUCUGUAGCGGGUCUGAGAGGAUGAUCCGCCACACUGGGACUGGAACACGGCCCAGACUCCUACGGGAGGCAGCAGUGGGGAAUAUUGGACAAUGGGCGGAAGCCUGAUCCAGCCAUGCCGCGUGUGUGAAGAAGGCCUUUUGGUUGUAAAGCACUUUAAGCGAGGAGGAGGCUACUAGUAUUAAUACUACCGGAUAGUGGACGUUACUCGCAGAAUAAGCACCGGCUAACUCUGUGCCAGCCGCCGCGGUAAUAC